GAUGAACGCUAGCGGGAGGCUUAACACAUGCAAGUCGAGGGGCAGCAUAGGGUAGCAAUACUCUGAUGGCGACCGGCAAACGGGUGAGUAACGCGUAUGCAACCUACCCUGUACAGGGGGAUAACCCGGAGAAAUUCGGACUAAUAUCCCGUAAUAAUAUCCGGAGGCAUCUUUGGAUAUUUAAAGUUCCGACGGUACGGGAUGGGCAUGCGUAACAUUAGCUGGUUGGUAAGGUAACGGCUUACCAAGGCUAUGAUGUUUAGGGGUCCUGAGAGGGUGGUCCCCCACACUGGUACUGAGACACGGACCAGACUCCUACGGGAGGCAGCAGUGAGGAAUAUUGGUCAAUGGGCGCAAGCCUGAACCAGCCAUCCCGCGUGCAGGAAGACGGCCCUAUGGGUUGUAAACUGCUUUUCCAGGGAGAGAAACUUACGCACGUGUUGCGUGACUGACGGUACCCUGGGAAUAAGCAUCGGCUAACUCCGUGCCAGCAGCCGCGGUAAACUAGUCUACGCUCG
rnacentral:rRNA from 1 species